GCUUACGGCCAUACCAGCCUGGGUACGCCCGAUCUCGUCUGAUCUCGGAAGCUAAGCAGGGUCGGGCCUGGUUAGUACUUGGAUGUGAGACCGCCUGGGAAUAACAGGUGCUGUAAGCA
rnacentral:rRNA from 1 species